CAGUCGCCGCGGGAAUACGUAGGUGGCAAGCGUUGUCCGGAAUUAUUGGGCGUAAAGGGCUCGCAGGCGGUUUCUUAAGUCUGAUGUGAAAGCCCCCGGCUCAACCGGGGAGGGUCAUUGGAAACUGGGAAACUUGAGUGCAGAAGAGGAGAGUGGAAUUCCACGUGUAGCGGUGAAAUGCGUAGAGGUGUGGAGGAACACCAGUGGCGAAGGCGACUCUCUGGUCUGUAACUGACGCUGAGGAGCGAAAGCGUGGGGAGCGAACAGGAUUAGAUACCCCGGUAGUCCCUGUCUCUUAUAC
rnacentral:rRNA from 1 species